UGCUUGAGCAGAUGCCAUUAUUCACAGAGAUAGUCUCGGUAAAAAUUUCAUUUUAAAGUCGGAUUUCGGGUUUGAGAAACCGUUUUUACACUUCCGUGGUAAAUUAUAUUUUGUUAAAUGUAACAAACUGUAACGUUAACUUAGUUGCUGUCUUCCUUGUUUGCCAAAUGAAUGUCAGAGCCGUCGCAUUUGACAUUUUCAGCAUCUCACUCGACGUGGAGAGAUCGGACUAGGUGAAGAUCUGACAUCACGGAAUUAUUCAAGGAUAACGCAACUUUUCUGCCAAACGAGGUCGUAAUUGCUGCUGUAUUGUGCAUCCCAAGUACCCCCUACAUUCUUAUCAAUGAUUGCUGUCAUUCAAGAACUUAUCAUGUCCUCCCCCAUUGUGGCUGAGCUACACAUUCUCUUCAUUUUAUUUUAAACAUAAAACAUCGAGGAGAUGGCACCUACGUUGGAAUUCAUACAAAUUCUUCCGGUGAAGAAAUCCUGAACGAGGGUCGACGGUUCAGAUGAAGGGAACCUAUGCUUCCAAGACUCAUGUAUGAACAACUUCGAGAAUCCAUGUACAAUUUGAACUUUUUUCAAAUCUCAACAUGGAACUUGGACUGAACAUGCAGCAAAAGGAAAAAAAAAUAAAAAUAGUAGUUUCCCCAAGUUGGCACAUGGCAAGAGAUACUAAAAGCACACAAACACUUGGAGCCCCGCUCUUAAUUUAGAUUGUAUAGUUCUCUUAGUUUCACAUUGAAAUGUUAGGCAUGAGUGCAUGAAUCUUUGUUCUUUAUUUUCAAAUGAUGUACAAGAAAGUGUUUUUUUUGUUUGUUUUUUUGCAGUACCAUGUCAAUUGUAGAUGACAGAAUUCACAUUUUUGAUGUGAACUGUCCUUUUAAAUAACAUUUCACUUGACUAUUGACUAGAAGUCUGUAGCAAUCGUUAUUAAUGACAGCCCUGUCUUUGUGUUAAUUUUUUCCCAUGUAUUUGAAAAUGUUUUGAAUCUUGACUGUUUCACAGUGAAGUUUAUCUUUGCGACCACUAUUUGGUGCAACACCAAUAUUGUACAAGUAGCUGCUCAUUUUUCUUUUUUCUGCCUGGUGCCGUUUAAAACGAAAACACAUUGUUAAAUUAAUUGAUGUAAUAAUAUUUUUGUCUUCACCUGUUAAAGGCAAAUAAAAACUACU